rnacentral:rRNA from 1 species
CAGUAGCCGCGGUAAUACGGAGGGUGCAAGCGUUAAUCGGAAUUACUGGGCGUAAAGCGUGCGUAGGCGGUUCGUUAAGUCUGUUGUGAAAGCCCCGGGCUCAACCUGGGAAUGGCAAUGGAUACUGGCGAGCUAGAGUGUGUCAGAGGAUGGUGGAAUUCCCGGUGUAGCGGCGAAAUGCGUAGAUAUCGGAAGUAACACCAGUGGCGAAAGCGACUUCCUGGUCGAAUACUGACGUUCAUGUGCGAAAGCGUGGGGAGCAAACAGGAUUAGAUACCCGGGUAGUCCCUGUCUCUUAUAC